CCCUCUCCAUCUGACCGCGCUCGUCGUCCCCCGCCGGCCCGCCCCUUUCUUGCUCGAGCUGCCGCCACGCCCCUGUGCCCCCUCCCUCCGAUCCAUCCACGACUGCGCUCGCUGCCCCCGCUCUAGACGCUGACACGCCCUCGUACGAGAUCUGCGCCCCCUGUGCCCCCUCCGCUCCAUCCACGACCGCGCCCCCCAAGCGAGUCGCCGCCAUUUCGCCGAUUCCCGGCUGCUGCCUAGGGUUUUGGUGCCAGCGCGGUCGGAGGGUUGUGCCUGUGGGUCGCGUUCCCAGUGUCGCGCGCGGCGGCAGAAGGUGGAGGGAGUGUCGGUUCUCCGGAGAGGAGGUGGAGGAGGUUGAGGUGGUGGGUCUCCACGGAGCGAGAUUAUCAGAUGCCGCGGCGGCCUUUGAGGAGGUAGUGGCUGUGUGGUCGUGUGGAGCGAACAACUGGCAGCGGCGGCGGGACUGGUGGAGGCAGCCAUGUUUUUCAGCAGGCUCGAUGACUCGCCCAUGUUCAGGAAGCAGGUGCACCUUGUGUUGUUAGGCUAUACUGAUACAUACAAACAUGUGUCGAACUUUGGCCGGCCCUUUGCUGUGUUUCUUCUUUUGCCAAUUCUCUAUGAAGAUAUGCAAGGAUGUGGUGUCUGCAAUCACCUCUCUCUCUUUCUUUGUGCUGACCAUAAUAAGCUACUCCCAGGAUGGAGUCACUUUGCGCAAUUUACAAUAGCUCUAAUUAAUAAAGACCCUAAGAAAUCUAAGUAUUCGGAAAGAGCAUGAUUGGGGGUGGAAAAAGUUUAUGGAGCUGUCAGAAUUACAUCGAUGGCUUUAUUGCACAGGAUGUUCUUACCAUCAAAGCCAAACUUCAAGUCAUUAGGGAGAAGAUAGACCGUCCAUUUCGUUGCCUUGAUGGCCAGUACCGAAGGGAACUAAUUAGGGUGUAUCUAUCAAAUGUGGAACAAAUUUAUCGGCGUUUUAUUGAUGAAAAAAGAAGGACGUUCAGCAGGCUGAUUGAGGAUAAACUCGGGUGGUCCAGGCCUUUUGCAGUUUCAGUGGAUUUUGGCGAGCCAUUUUUCAUCUUUGAUUUUAUCUGAACAGAGACUUGAACUCGCUAUCAACUUUCAGUAGACCUACUAAGGAGCGAUCUCCGUCCAAUUAUCUGCCAAUGAAUUUAUGCAUUGAGGGAGGAAGAGCAGCUUGUGUAUUGGUGGAGAGAGGAUCCUUGGUUGAAAGUGAUGUUUCUCCAUAUCUUUAUAAGGUUAAGGAAGAGCAGUUGGGGUUCCUGUGAAACAUGGAUUGUAUGAGGUCUAUAAUUUUUUUAUGCUCUAUCAUUACUUGAAUGAAUCAUGUAUCACUGGCAAGCAACUUCAGCUCAUACUAUGUAGGAAUUCUAAUUCACAUUGCAUUCUAUUUAAUUGUUUGUUUUAUGUUCCGUUCACACGACCAUGAUUUUUGUUUGCACAAAUCACUAUAUAUAUCCUCGUUGAAUUAAAAGUCUAGCUUUGUGUCAUAAGCAUAUUGUCUAUUUCCCCUUUUGGCUAUUGCAAAUAGCAAGUAUGGUUUGUUGUUUAAAUGUUAGUCUAUUCUGUUUCAAGAAAAAAAAGAAUGCGCCAUCGCUGGGGAUGGGUAUGAUGAUCAAGAUCGUCGAACGACGAAGGGCACCAAGGUGUUCGUUGGCGGGCUGCCAAUGUCGGCCACAGAAAGCAUGCUCCUCUCUCAUCUUCGCACCAUGCAGUAGCUGCUGCCCAUAGCAUGUAAUGCAAUGGAAUAAGUUAUCAAGGCAACUAACACCGAACAUAGUAAGAAAAGAAACCAAACGUGAAUAUGUCUCAUUUUGUGUUAUUGGUCUCCCUGGGAUUCUCGCUCUUAUUGGUCACAGUGGCGGGUUCUUGGGCUCCUUGGCAGCGUCGAGGCACGGUAUCUGCCCACGCCGUUGUCGGGGCCUCCCGCGGGUACCCAUGCUCGACCUACUUCAUUGAAGGUAAAACUUUGACUAUUUGGGAUCUCCAUUUCAUUAUUCAGAUAUGCUCAAUUCUGAACUAGAACAGAUGCAUAAUAACUUUUAGAAACCAGAACAAUUUCAAGACAUUUCAUCAUUCUACUUUUUUCUAUAGCACCAGCUUAUUGAGACUUCUGUCUUAGAUGUGGUAUGGACAAAUAUACAUGCCACUUUCUAGAUGAAGUGAAGAGACCAAAUGUGGAUGUCAAUCAAUCUCUAGAUGAAGGAAUGAAAGGAAGGAGCUAAGUUAUUGCACUGGAUGUACAGGGUCUAGAAAAGGUGUAACUUUGAUGCCAUUUAUUAGUGUUGUUGUACAAAAGAAAAGGCUGAAUUGAUGAAUUCAUGGGCUACCUUAUAAUAUAAAACUAUAUUGAAUUCAUGUGAUCUUGUGAUUUUAUGUAAGACUAUCCUAUAAAUAAAAACUAUGAUUUCACUGUCUUCUCUAUGUUGUAGCUAGCAGUGCAGGCAUAGAACCUAUGAAACAUGGAUACUUGGUUAUAAAGUUCAACUUUCAGUCAAGUUUUGUUCAACAAGGGUCUAAUAGAGACUUCCAUGAAACUGAUCGAUUUGUCGUUGGUGUCAUGUAUGGGAACUUAUGGUUUAGAAGCAGCUAAGUUUUCAACAUGUUACAUGGUAGGAAAUGUAUUUGCUAACACUAUUUGCUAACACUACAAGUUCCAUAUGCCCUAUGUGACAGAUGGCAAGAUUGAAUGAAGGGCUGUCAUUAUUUGAUGCAAUACUGAUUGUUCCAAUGUUUCAAAUUACUUGGACCUUCUUCUCUAUUUGUAUAGGAUUUGUUUACUUUCAAGAAUAUCAAGUAUUUGAUACACUCAGGAUAAUUAUGUUUGUGUUAGGCAUGACAUUUGUCUUUGUUGGGAUCUCCUUGCUAGCACCCGAUGAUAGUAAAGGUGAUACGAAAGAUGGUUCAAGCACCGCCGAGGACUCCAUAAUUGACAUAGACAUGUUCUAUUCCACGAACUUGUAGAAAGUUUCAAGAUUUGCUCUAUUGCAUUUUGUGUUCAGUAUUGCAUUCAGUGUUUUGAUAUAUAAUCUAGACACUGCAGAAAUGGAAAGAUGCUGAUGGAGGAGACAGACACAGAUGAUAGCAUCUCUUUUGUUACUUCUGUAAAAGUAAAUGCAAAACGUGUACUUUCAAAGGCAAAGUCUGCAUGCUCCAUGUCCCUUGGCCUUGGGGAGAGCACCAUAAGCGCUUCAUCGGUGCUUGCCAUGCCUAUGGUCUCGUCAAGAACAACCGGCUUCAGAGGAAUCGAAAAUGACCGUCCAAAUUGCUACCUGUAUGGCGCCUCUUCUGUUGCGUCCACUUCUAGCUGGUGAAUCUGAGAUGGAUGAAGUAUUUGAUAUGGAUGGUGACGAUUCUGCGCAGCUUCUUGCUGCAGCAAACGCAGCAAACAGUGCUCAAGGAAUUGUCGCAACUCUCUUGGAGGAAUAUGAGGGCAUUUUUCAUGAUGAACACCUCAGAUGUUCCUUGUCACCUGAAUCUCAAAUUGAAGAUAGUGGUAUUGAAGCAUCAACUGUUGAUGGUAAUUUGGAAGCCAAGGGCAAUGGAUUUCAUGAUGUAGAUCAAGAAUUGGAUGAUGACAAUGGCGUGGAGCGUAUACUUAGUGGGAAAUUGAGUGAGAGCAGUGGAUAUGCUGGCAGUGACCUCUAUGACUACAAGUCUCGAGAACCAGAUUACUGCAUUGGAGAACAAGUGCUCAGGUGAUUACCAAUGGAUUGGUUUCUGUCACAAUGAUCUUCAGAAUGGCAAUAUCAUGAUUGAUGAAAAGACCAACGUGCUGACCAUCAUUAAAAUGGCCAUCGGUGUCCCUAAAAAGCGGAACGACAAAUGGAUGGCUAAUCAGCUUUUGAAGCUACAUCUGGAGUAAAAAGCUUUGAAGGAUGCUCAUCUUCAGUUUAUGCGCUACUAUUUGUUGACUGACAUGGACUUGCAAAAGCGCACUUAAUACUUGUCAGUUUUGGAUCCAUUUGUUGCAUUGGUCGAUGUCUUCGGCGAAACAAUCUCAGUUAGGGAUAUUUCCUUCUGAUUUGUUAGUGUUCAACAUUAUAAGAAGUGGUUUAUUAGUUUUGUUCAGAUUUUUGUAAUUAUUUAUGACAUAGUAACCUUCAUCAAUCAUACAUGCAUGUCAUCGCUUCGUUCAA